UUUUUCUUUCUUUCUUUUUUUUUUUUUUUGACAGGAUGGGCUGGGGUUGGGGGAGGAGGAAGCAAGAAUUAAGCAGAGAAGGCAAGCUCCUUUCUGUUCAUCUAACUCAAACUGACGAGUCAUUGAGCUGACUCCAAUCAGCAGGAUCCCCUGGUCGCCUGACUCAGGCCUCCCCAGUCAGAGGUAGAGUCUGCGGUGGACAGACAGACAGGUCUGGAGAGGCUGACCCAAGUGACCACCUGGUAAUUACUUCAACAGCAGAGCGACUCAUACAGCCGGCAGUCCACUUUGUUCUUCUAUAGAUCCUGCCUGUGGUGUUGGAUCUAACAGCUUCUUCCCUGACCCAAGAUUAUGAAGGAUUUCUCCUGUGUUCUCUUCUAAAAAUUUUACAUUUAGGUACAUAAUCCAUUUUGAGCUAAUUCUUUUAAAUAGUGCAAAGUAUGGAUUGAAGUUCUUUUUUUUUUUUUUUUUUGCAGAUACAUAUUUAAUUUUUCCAGCACCAUUUGUUGAAAAGACUAAUGUUCUUGCCUGAAUAGCCUUUGCAUUGUUGUUGAAAAUCAUGUUCACACAUGUACACAUUCCACUGAUCUAUUUGCCUCUUUGUGAAAAUACUACUAUUUUGAUUAAUAUAUAUUUAUAGGGAGUCUUAAAAUCAUAUCUUAAAAAGAUAGUGGAAGUUAUUUAACCUUACUCUUGCUUUUAGAAAUUGUUUUGGAUAUUCUAGAUCUUUUGUGUUUCCAUAUAAAUUUUAUAAUCAGUUUGGCAAUUUAUUUAAAAUAUUCUUCUGGGAUUUUGAUGGACAUUACACUGAAUCGAUGGAUCGCUUUGGGGACAACUGACAUCUUAACAAUAUUGAGUCAUCUAACAUAUGAUCAUGGAAAUUGCUCCAUUUAUUUAGAUCUUCUUUCACAUCUUGAAGCAGUGUUUUGCGUUUUCAGUGUAUAGGUAUUUAAUAGAUUUAAAAAUAUGAUCCCUAAAUAUUCAAUGUUUUUGAUGCUAUUGGAAUUUUAAAAAAUUAAUUUCUGUUCUGAGGAAGGAAAAUAAUAAAAGAUUAAACAAGAAAAAUAAAAAUAAUCAAAAUAAAAGAUAAAUCAUUGACAAAUAUAAUAAAAAAUAAAAUAAUAACAAAAAAUAUAAAAAA
rnacentral:lncRNA from 1 species